rnacentral:lncRNA from 1 species
ACCAGCACUUUGGGAGGUCGAGGAAUUUGGAAAAUUUUUUCUGCUCCUCACUGGUGUUGCUGGAAGUCGCUCCACAGCUGGCAGAUGAGCUGGCUGGGAAGAUACAAGGUGGCUGCACUCACUAUUGGGGGCCCUAGCUCGGAUGCCUGCCAGGCUGGGCUCAGCUGGGACUGCCUCCUACACGUGGCCUCUCCAGCAUGGUGACGUCACGGAAGCCUCAGACUCCUCACACAGAUGCUGGAUUCCCCGGAGGGAGUGUUUCCAGGGGUCC